UUAAUGAGAGUUUGAUCCUGGCUCAGGACGAACGCUGGCGGCGUGCCUAAUACAUGCAAGUAGAACGCUGAUGUUUGGUGUUUACACUAGACUGAUGAGUUGCGAACGGGUGAGUAACGCGUAGGUAACCUGCCUCAUAGCGGGGGAUAACUAUUGGAAACGAUAGCUAAUACCGCAUAAGAGUGAUUAACACAUGUUAGUUAUUUAAAAGGAGCAAUUGCUUCACUGUGAGAUGGACCUGCGUUGUAUUAGCUAG
rnacentral:rRNA from 1 species